AAUUGUGCUUAGAAUUUAAACGUGUUGCAAGACUUAUGUGCUUAGGAAAGUGUUUAAUUUCUAAACAUAAAAAAAUAAACAUGUUUUGGCUCUCAGCACUUCGCAAUAAACAUGUUUUGGCUCUCAGCACUUUUCAAUAAACAUGUUGCUAUGCUAAACAUGUUUAGCUACUUUGUCAAGUAUAUAAAGCUAAACGUGUUUAAAUUCUAAGCACUUUCAAUAUUUAGACACUUUCCUAAACACGUUUAGAAUUACAACACAUUUAGGCCGAAUACGGCAUUCAUAUCACGUGCUAAUUUUUGAGCGGGAAGAAGAAACAAAGAACCCGAAGUCAAAGGCCACGCUGUUUACUUCUGACCAUAACUGACCGUAACUUGACUGUUUCAGAAAGAUGAGAGAAGUGCAGAAGAAAUCAUCAUCCGUCUUGGCAUGCUAAAAGAGGAGACAAAGAACAGUAGCAAAUAUGCUGCUAGGCCAUUGACCAGCAGUUGGGUACUAAGAAAGGAGAAGCUCUUAUUGACCUGUAAAAUGAAAACAGGACAUUUUCAAAUUGUUUUGUUGUAGGGAUGGGGUACAAGUAGAAGAUUGGUCAAUAUUAUGUACAUGUACCUUGAUAUGAAUUUAUUUUUGAUUGUGUUCAAUGAUAAACUGGAAAUAAAUGAUAACAUAAAUUC